AAAUGUCUUGGUUGUUAAGUUCCCCAUGUAGUCCCCUACUGUACAACCCCUGUAAAGUCAGUAGGGAAACCCCUUGCAUGGGGAACCACAUAAAUACUGUGACUUGUGAUUAAAACCUCAGUUGACCCCCAGCCUAUGUGUCAUCUAGUUCUUGGGAAGGAAAGAUUUAUACAACGCUACCGGGAUUAUUGUAUGCUGUACUUAUUUUACCUGGAUUAUUCUAUGCUGUUCCUGUCUACCAGCGGAGAUAUUGUGGAUUAUACUACCUCUCCGCUACACCAACCAAGCUA